GACGAACGCUGGCGGCGCGCCUAACACAUGCAAGUCGAACGAGCGAGAGAGAGCUUGCUUUCUCAAGCGAGUGGCGAACGGGUGAGUAACGCGUGAGGAACCUGCCUCAAAGGAGGGGGACAACAGUUGGAAACGACUGCUAAUACCGCAUUAAGCCCACGACCCGGCAUCGGGUUGAGGGUAAAAGGAGCAAUCCGCUUUGAGAUGGCCUCGCGUCCGAUUAGCUGGUUGGUGAGGUAACGGCCCACCAAGGCAACGAUCGGUAGCCGGACUGAGGGGUUGAACGGCCACAUUGGGACUGAGACACGGCCCAA
rnacentral:rRNA from 1 species